ACACCGGCAGCUCAAGUGGUGGCCGUUUUUAUUGGGCCUAAAGCGUUCGUAGCCGGCCUGAUAAGUCUCUGGUGAAAUCCCGCAGCUUAACUGUGGGAAUUGCUGGAGAUACUAUCAGGCUUGAGGCCGGGAGAGGUUAGAGGUACUCCCAGGGUAGGGGUGAAAUCCUAUAAUCCUGGGAGGACCACCUGUGGCGAAGGCGUCUAACUGGAACGAACCUGACGGUGAGUAACGAAAGCCAGGGGCGCGAACCGGAGUAGAUACCCGGGUAGUCCUGGCCGUAAACGAUGUGGACUUGGGGUUGGGAUGGCCUCGAGCUGCCCCAGUGCCGAAGGGAAGCUGUUAAGUCCACCGCCUGGGAAGUACGGUCGCAAGACUGAA
rnacentral:rRNA from 1 species